rnacentral:rRNA from 1 species
AGUGAACGCUGGCGGUAGGCCUAACACAUGCAAGUCGAACGGCAGCACAGUAAGAGCUUGCUCUUACGGGUGGCGAGUGGCGGACGGGUGAGGAAUACAUCGGAAUCUACUUUUUCGUGGGGGAUAACGUAGGGAAACUUACGCUAAUACCGCAUACGACCUACGGGUGAAAGUAGGGGAUCUUCGGACCUUGCGCGAUUGAAUGAGCCGAUGUCGGAUUAGCUAGUUGGCGGGGUAAAGGCCCACCAAGGCGACGAUCCGUAGCUGGUCUGAGAGGAUGAUCGGCCACACUGGAACUUAGACACGGUCCAGACUCCUACGGGAGGCAGCAGUGGGGAAUAUUGGACAAUGGGCGCAAGCCUUAUCCAGCCAUACCGCGUGGGUGAAGAAGGCCUUCGGGUUGUAAAGCCCUUUUGUUGGGAAAGAAAAGCAGCAGGUUAAGACCCCGCUGUUCUGGCGGUACCCAAAGAAUAAGCACCGGCUAACUUCGUG